rnacentral:tRNA from 1 species
GCCAGUGUGGCAUAGUGGUUUGAGUGUUGGAUUACAACUCUGGAGACCAGAAUUCAAUUCCCUGUUCUGCCA